rnacentral:rRNA from 2 species
UAACAACUUUCAGCAGUGGAUGUCUAGGCUCGCACAUCGAUGAAGAACGCUGCGAACUGCGAUACGUAAUGCGAAUUGCAGGAUUCAGUGAGUCAUCGAAAUUUUGAACGCAUAUUGCACUUCCGGGCUCUCUACUCGGGAGUAUGCCUGUAUCAGUGUCCGUA